GACAGAGGAUGCAAGCGUUAUCCGGAAUGAUUGGGCGUAAAGCGUCUGUAGGUGGUUCUCGAAGUCUACUGUCAAAUCCCAGGGCUCAACCUUGGACAGGCAGUGGAGAACUCGGGGACUCGAGUACGGUAGGGGUAGAGGGAAUUCCCGGUGAAGCAGUGAAAUGCACAGAGAUCGGGGAAAGAACACCAGUGGCGAAGGCGGCUCACUGGACUGGUAUUGACGCUGAUGUGCGAAAGCGUGGGGAGCAAACAGGG
rnacentral:rRNA from 1 species